rnacentral:rRNA from 1 species
AUGGCCGCCAUCCUCCGUGGCCUGCCGCCUGAGAUGGUCGGGUCCAUCGUCGUCAAGCGAUCGGCGAAGGAGGCCUGGGAGGCCAUCCGCGCCAUGCGGGUGGGCACGGGCCGGGUACGCGAGGCCACCGCUCAGAAGCUCCGAAAGGACUUCGAAAACCUCGCCUUCAAGGAGGGCGAGACCAUCGACGCGUUCACCAUGCGCGCCGCCGCCCUCGUCAACAACUUGCGCACGCUCGGCGACACCGUCGACGACGAGAAGGUUGUCCGUAAGUUCCUCCGCGUCAUUCCAAAGAAGUACUCCCAGGUCGCCAUUGCCAUCGAGACCCUCCUCGACGUCAGCACGCUGUCGCUUGAGGAGGUGACUGGGCGCUUUCUCUCGAUUGAGGAGCGCCUGGAGGAAGAAGAUAGCGCGGGAGGAACUCGCCUGCUCCUCACUGAGGAGGAGUGGGAAGCGCGGUGCAAGCAGCGCGGCGAGGGCCAGUCCAGCAAUGGGCAGCAGAAGGGCAAGAACCAGAACCGCGGUGGGCGCGGACAGCAGAAGGGCAAGAACCAGGCCGGCGCGCCGCCCCGCAACGGCGGCCGCGUGGCCACCAGCGACGACAAGUGCCGCUACUGCAACAAGAACGGGCACUGGGCGCGUGACUGCCGCAAGAAGCAGCGCGACGAGGCCAACAUCGCGCGGGUGGACGAGGAAGAAGGAGAGGGGAGCCUCCUGAUGGCGCACAUCGUCUCCCUCAGCUCCAACCCCGACCACGACAAGGAAGGCGCUCAGGUCUUCCUCGACGAGCAGAACGCCAACGUCACCAUCAGCGAUGCAGCGGCACGGCGCGACAACCUGUGGUACAUCGACACGGCAGCAUCGAACCACAUGACCGGCGACCGCGACGCCUUCUCCGAGCUGAACACCGGCAUCACGGGGCGCGUUCGUUUCGGCGAUGGCUCCGCAGUUGAGAUAUGCGGGCGCGGCACCGUCCUCUUCGUCGCGAAAGACGGACGUCAUCGAGCACUCACCCAGUUCUACUUCAUCCCCAAGCUGCAGAACAACAUCAUUUUUGUAGGUCAACUCGAUGAGGUGGGCUGCGAGGUGUCGAUCCACGGCGGUCUGCUUCGGGUCCGGGACAGAAGCGGCAAGCUGAUCGAGCGCGUUGCACGUAGCGGCAACCGCCUGUACAAGCUCCCAGCCACGCUCGCCAAGCCGGUCUGCAUGACCGCUCGCGUCGAUCAGGUGGCCUGGACGUGGCACGAGAGGUACGGUCACCUCAAUUUCGACAUACUCCGCAAGCUGGCGUCAUCGGACAUGGUGUGCGGGCUCCCUUCAAUCCAGCACGUGGAUCAGGUGUGUGACGGCUGUCUGCUCGGCAAACAGCAUAGCGCAUCGUUCGCACGAGCAGCGAGCUACCGCGCCGGUGACCGCCUCGACCUGGUGCAUGGUGACCUGUGCGGCCCAAUCUCGCCGGCCACGCACGGCGGGAAGCGGCACUUCCUUCUCCUCGUCGACGACAUGAGUCGUUACAUGUGGCUUGUGUUGCUGCGCUCGAAGGACGAAGCUGCAGCCGCGAUCAAGAACUUCUAG